rnacentral:rRNA from 1 species
AUGAACGCCGCCAUGGAUGCCGCCGGAGCGGCCCGCCGUCGCAGCCCACGCCUCCAUCCCCUAAUCCACACGAGUGACGUUGGUGAACGAGUGACCCGCCGCCGCAGCCCUCGCCUCCAUCCCCAGGUUCAAGGAGUGGCUCGCCGGCGGAGCACGCGCCUCGGUCCCAAGGUCCACGCGAGUAAGGAGGCAUCCCGAGUGACCCGCAGCAGUCGUCGCCGCCGCCACAGCUCGCCAGCGGCGCUGGCCUCGCCGCUUGAAGACGACGAUCUCCUGAGGGAGAUCCUGCUCCGUCUCCCACCGCAGCCCUCCUCACUGCCUCGCGCCUCCGCCGUCUGCAAGCGGUGGCGACGCGUCACCACCGACCCAAGGUUCCACUGCCAGUUCCGUGCAUACCACCAAAAGCCGCCCCUCCUCGGUUUCUUCCAUGAUAGCGUGGAUGGUACUGUGUUCAAACCCAUCCUGGACCCUCCCGAUCGUAUCCCUCCACAACGCCUCGACCGGCGACUCCACGGUGUUGACAGCGGCAACUGUUUGAGGGUCCAAUUGCUUGGGUGUCGCCACGGUCGUGUUCUCAUCUUGCUCUCGCUGCAGCAGGAGCUUAUUGUCAUUGCCCCCAUCACCGGCGAGAAGUGCCGUGUGUCCAUUCCGCCCGAGUUCAAUAAACGCUAUGUCAACGGGGCGGUGCUCUGUGCUGCUGCUGACCACGACCAUGUGCAUGGAAGCUGCCACUUGAGCCCAUUCAAGGUGGUCUUGCUAUCCACAAGCACCUACUAUAGUGGUCCACAACUCAUCUUAGCAUCUGUUUACUCCUCGAAGGAUGGCCUAUGGGGCGAUGUCAUCUCAACUCCGACUCCAUGUGAGCUUCCUGGUGGCGGUACUCAUGGGUCACUAGUUGGUAAUGCACUUUACUGGUUGUGCAAAGAUUACAUGAUUGAGUUUGAUUUGGAUGGGCACAUCCUAGCUUUGAUCAAUGCCCCUCCCACUAUAGACGAGGCACGUCACUUUUUUGACAUGCGUGAGGUCAUCCAGAUCAUGGAUGGCGCUGUUGGUAUCGCUAUAUUGUCUCACUAUUACCAUAACAUUCAAAUGUGGCAAAGGAAGGUCAAUUCUCAAGGUGUUACCGAAUGGGUGUUGUGGAAGACCAUUGAAAUGCGUAAUAUUGAUGGAAUCCCUCCUGGGGUUAAAGGCGAGAGGCCAGGGUUGUUAUUUAGACUGAGAUAUGCUGAGGAUACUGAUGAAAUAUUUCUAUAUGUGGGCCACAAUGUAUAUAUAGUUCAACUGAAGUCUAUGCAAUCGAAGAAACUUUGUGAAACCCAGUAUGUUAGUGCUCAUCAUUCUUUCAAUAGUUUCUAUAUGCCA